UAUAACAUAUUUUAUCACAACAUCAAUAUCAUAACCAAUCCAUUCAUGACCCAAUGUCGUUUUCUUAUACUAUGUCGUCAUGACCUGUUAUCACUAAAAGGUACCUGUUUCUCAACAGGGCAAUUCGAGCCCUCUUCCAUCGCAACUUCCGACCUAUCUCCCCAACUUCUCAAGGACUAACAAGUAAAAACACUGGCACUACACGCACCAAUGCACUAUACUAAGCACGAACCGAAGUCUUUUGGGCGAGACAUCCACCUCCCCGCGUAGAGGGAAGUGACACUCCAAUCAUUAUCUCUUAAACGAGAGUCCAACAACAUCACAUUCUUAGCGUAGCAUAGUAUGAAAAGUUCACACAUAACCAACGACAGUACAAGGAAAUAACAUAGUUUCAUGUCCACAUCACACAUCAAUACCCAUUCUCAACAACAUGCAUUGCUCACCAAUCAUAAAGUUUAUCUCACCAUUAUCAAAAUAUACAGUGCUCCCUCAUCAUAAUGUUCAACACGUCCUGCUCAUCACCUUUCAUGCAUAGUCUUAAUACUAUAUAUUAACUCACCGAUCACAAACUAAUACCCAUCCUCACUAAUAUGUAUUAAAGAAACAAUCAUCGAUUUAAACACAAUCUCAACACUUUUCACUCAAAAUCUCAAUGAUAAACAUCAAUUUAUCAAACACAAGAUUUUACUACACCAUAUAAAAAUACGACUUCAUAUACAACACCACAACAACAUCUUAUAAGCAUAUUACCACAUCAAUAAGUCACCACAGAAAUAUAUAAAAUUACUACGAUAAAAUAUCACCACAACGCAUAAAAAUACUCAACUUUUAUAAUUUAUUUUACAUACAUAAUAAUCCCUCAAUCCCUCAUAUUAAAUUAUAAAAAUUAUUCAUAUCAUCUCUUAACUUAUAUAUACCGACUAAAACAACAUGUAUACUAUACAAAUCUCUAGUCGUUUCACUAAAACUCCCUCCCACAACAACCUGAAAAUCCACGUAACAAGGGUUACUUAUAUUAAUAUGCAUUAGAUGUAUCUCUCCCAACUCACUCCCAUGCAAACCGAAAUGCACACCUCACAAUAUAUAUACAUUUAUAUACGAAUGGAAAUAACAACAAUAACUGUAACCGCAACAUCACCUAACUCCAAACACACAUGAUAAUUCUAGUCACCCUCUUACAAUGAUUCACAAGCAUAGAACAAAUAUUAUGCCACAUCACAAAAUAUUUCCUUAUAACAUAAAAGUACUUAUCAAAACCCUAAAUCAAUCAUGUGUUAAAAUAUAACUGAUUCCUCUAUGCCUUCUAAGAUUCGUUGGACUGCUAAGAGCACGGUCUCUCCCUCUUGUCUCAGCUUUACAUGGUUUCACCUCCAUUACACUCCCAUAUGCCCACACUAGAACGCAAGCUUCCCUCCUCUCUCCCACUCUCUUUGUUCCAUGUAUACUCCUAUUUGUUAACCUAAAAGAAUGUGUUUUUAAUUCCUCUCUUCUAACCCUAAUAUAACCUUUUAUCUUUUCAAACUUUCUGUUAAG
rnacentral:lncRNA from 1 species